rnacentral:rRNA from 1 species
GACGAACGCUGGCGGCGUGCUUAACACAUGCAAGUCGAACGGAAAGGCCUGCUUUCCCUUGUGGUUUGCGGGUACUCGAGUGGCGAACGGGUGAGUAACACGUGAGUGAUCUGCCCCCAACUUGGGUAUAAGCCUGGGAAACUGGGUCUAAUUCCCGAUAGGACUGCAGGGUGGUGCCUGUGGUGGAAAACGAUUUUCUAGUGGUUGGGGAUGAGCUCGCGGCCUAUCAGCUUGUUGGUGGGGUAAUGGCCUACCAAGGCGGCGACGGGUAGCCGGCCUGAGGGGGUGGACGGCCACAUUGGGACUGAGAUAAGGCCCAGACGCCUACGGGAGGCAGCAGAGGGGAAUAUUGGACAAUGGGCGGAAGCCUGAUGCAGCGACGCCGCGUGGGGGAUGACGGCCUUCGGGUUGUAAACUCCUUUCGACCGCGAGGAAGCCACCUGGUUGGAAGGGUGGUGACGGUAGUGGUAGAAGAAGCACCGGCUAACUACGUG